GAUGAACGCUGGCGGCAGGCCUAACACAUGCAAGUCGAACGAGUGGCGGACGGGUGAGUAAUGUCUGGGAAACUGCCCGAUGGAGGGGGAUAACUACUGGAAACGGUAGCUAAUACCGCAUACCAUCGGAUGUGCCCAGAUGGGAUUAGCUAGUAGGUGGGGGAACGGCUCACCUAGGCGACGAUCCCUAGCUGGUCUGAGAGGAUGACCAGCCAGACUGGAACUGAGACACGGUCCAGACUCCUACGGUGGGCAGCAGUGUGGUAUAUGGCACAAUGGGCGCAAGCCUGAUGCAGCCAUGCCGCGGGUAUGAAGAAGGCCUUCGGGUUGUAAAGUACUUUCAGCGAGGAGGCGUUACUCGCAGAAGAAGCACCGGCUAACUCCGUGCCAGCAGCCGCGGUAAUUC
rnacentral:rRNA from 1 species